rnacentral:rRNA from 1 species
UGAGCAACCUGCCUCAAGCUUUGGGAUAACCCUCGGAAACGGGGGCUAAUACCGAAUAUUACUUCUGGCCGCAUGGCUGGGGGUGGAAAGUUUUUCGGCUUGGGAUGGGCUCGCGGCCUAUCAGCUUGUUGGUGGGGUGAUGGCCUACCAAGGCGACGAUGCGUAGCUGGUCUGAGAGGACGAUCAGCCACACUGGGACUGAGACACGGCCCAGACCUCCGUACGGGAGCA